rnacentral:rRNA from 1 species
AAUCAACGCUGGCGGCGUGCCUCAGACAUGCAAGUCGAACGCGAAAAGUCCCCUUCGGGGGAGUGAUUAGAGUGGCGCACGGGUGAGUAACACGUAGGUAAUCUACCUUCGAGUGGGGAAGUAACUCAGGGAAACGUUAGAGCUAAUAACCGCAUAAUAGCAGCGGCACCACAUGGUGACAGUUGUUAAAGCAUUUAUGCGCUUGAAGAGGAGCCUGCGGCAGAUAGCUAGUUGGUAAGGUAAUGGCUUACCAAGGCUACGAUCUGUAACCGGCCUGAGAGGGCGGACGGUCACACUGACACUGAAUAACGGGUCGANACUCCUACGGGAGGCAGCAGUCGGGAAUUUUGGGC